rnacentral:lncRNA from 1 species
AUGGAUUGGAAGCAACAUUUAGAUGCCUGAUUAGAUCUAGAAGCUCGCUACUCAAUGUUUUCUCCUGCUAAUCUGGCAGUUGUUAUUCUAUACACUGUAAAUUAUAUAUACACAUUUUUGUAGUUAUGUUAGAAAUAUACAAUCUUCAAGCGAUUGAUUAUACAUCAAUGUCAUGUCUCUUUCUCUCUAUAUGUAUUAUAUAUGGAGCGUACAUGAAUACUGCCAUAAACUGUGCAGUAGGACUAUAAUUCAAAUACCUGAAUGGAGUCCAAAUUUUAACAGGUUAUGCCUAUGACUUUCAGCAUUGUCUAAAUCUUAUGUCAGGUUAAGUUUUAUCCUGAAAAUAACUCAAAAUAUCAUUGAAAUGAUUCUCCUUAAACUAGAGGAGAAGCAGAUAAAACUAAUAGCAGAUCCUUUACAUACUUCCAUUGCAUAAUUAUUGAAAUGAUCAAACCAAGGAGCGAAAGAGAAAAUUCUAUGACUCCUGAACCAAUAUUAAAGUGUAAGAAGCCACUUAUCUACAUUUGGAAAAAAGUACUUCUUCCUUAUUCUUCUUAUCCAUCAUUCUUACACAACUAUAAUUUAUUAGAUAAAACUGUGAAUGAUAUCUUUUUCUAUUUGGUUCAUAAUCAACUAGCUAUGGGGCCACCACAGGUUUUCUGAAUUUGUUCUUACAAUUAUUGGAAGUAUUAGACCUAAAUCCUAAUCAAGAAGGUUUCUUAAAACUGUAGACAAAAUUCUUUUUGGACAGAGCAGGUUCGUGAAGGUAAACGGUAAGCAAAAGUUUUUAAUUCUUGUUUGUGAAUGUAAGUAGAAGCGGAUGAUUUAAUAAAAAUCUUUAAGUUUCCACAUAUGAGAUACAUUAUAAUAGUUCUACAUGUGAGAUAACACUCAAUUUUUGAUGUAUUACAUUUUCUUAGUGCCAACAGUAGACUGCAUUUUGAGAGUUGACUUCAAACAUUAAAAAGAACUUGAAAUGCAUAACUUGAUAGCUAGUCGUAUUAUGUUUAUCCGCUAACUUGAUCACGCUAUUUCAUUUUUUGACUGGAUCAUCACAUUUACCUAUUUAUACUACAGUAUAAACUAUUUACCACGUAGAGAGGUUAUAAAUUAAUUACAUUAUCAUAUUUAUAUACAAAAUAAUGUAUUAGAAUCUUACCCAUUUUCUCUCCUUCUUCUUCUUCUUCUUUCUCCAAAUUCAAACCUCUUCAAAUUCAUUGACGAUCCAUAAAAUUCUUUCACCAUCAACUCUGCACCAGUCAGUUUCACUCAGCAUCUAAUUUCUCUAAAAAAACAUAGCAAUAACAAAAAAUAAAAAGCAACAAAGUUUGAAGGAAAAGAAUGAAUGAACAGACCUGCGAAAGAAAUAAACCUCUUAACGGAUUGAAAGGACUCUGGUAAACCCACCGAUGUUAUAGAGAAGAAUUUGACAACUAAUAAAAAUCUUCGUUGACAGCCACUAAAUAUUUUGAGAGAAUUUGGUGAAGAUCCGGUUGGUUUUUG